GCACUGCACUGCUUCUAGACGGGGUCUGGGUGGGAACCUCUCUGACAUCGUCGUGUACCCAUUGCAUCUUUCAACCUUGGCCACUUUUCCCAAGUACAUAAAGACUCAGGGGAAAAAGAGCACCUGCGGUGGUCCAUGAAGGCCAUGUGAAGGCAUGCAUUAUCACUGCUACAUUAAGGAGCAUGUGGUGGCUAUUGGGAGCAUGAUUAAACAGUGGAUAACUUGAUGGUCCUGAAGUCAGGAAGAAGUCUGGGCCAGGACAUCGGCAAUAUACAGGUGAGAUCAAACUAUGCCUGUGAUGACACCACUGAAGCAUCUACAGCAUGGAUGUCCACUCUUCUGUCAGAGUCCCCAUGUCAGCCAGU